GGAGGUAUAGCUCAGUGGUAGAGCACAUGGUGAGCAUGCACGAGGUCCUGGGUUCAAUCCCCAGUACCUGCA
rnacentral:tRNA from 1 species